CGCCGUCGACCAACCAAUCCCGCCCAAUCUGUUUGCUUCUCGCCGUCGACCAACCAAUCUCGCCCAAUCUGUUUCCUUCUUCUUCUCGCCGUCGACCACCGUUCUCAUCAUCACUGUGACCAGCGUGCAUCAUCGGAACGUUUCUCAUAGGAAGCCCCUAGGAAGAUGGCCCGUCUUUUAUUACGGCAUGGGACAUAUGCUUAAUGACAUAACUGCUGCUUGCUGGUUCACCUAUCUAUUACUGUUCUUGAGUGAUAUUGGACUUUCACCAAGAUAAAAAAGGGAAAAGGAGUGUUGCCUGGACGUAAAGAGAUUUACAUUGAUACCCGUACUCGUAAAGAUG